rnacentral:piRNA from 1 species
CAACCAUCUGUAAUAGGAUCUGAUGCCCC